rnacentral:rRNA from 1 species
AUUGAACGCUGGCGGCAGGCCUAACACAUGCAAGUCGAGCGCGCGGCGGACGGGUGAGUAAUGUAUGGGGACUGCCCGAUAGAGGGGGAUAACUACUGGAAACGGUAGCUCAUACCGCAUAUUAUCGGAUAACCCAUAUGGGAUUAGCUAGUAGGUGAGUUAAUGGCUCACCUAGGCGACGCUCCCUAGCUGGUCUGAGAGGAUGAUCAGCCACACUGGGACUGAGACACGGCCCAGAGUCCUACGGAGACAGCAGUGGGGAAUAUUGCACAAUGGGCGCAAGCCUGAUGCAGCCAUGCCGCGUGUAUGAAGAAGGCCCUAGGGUUGUAAAGUACUUUCAGUCGGGAGGCGUUACCGACAGAAGAAGCACCGGCUAACUCCGUGCCAGCAGCCGCGGUAAUAC